GUCUUAGUUCGGAUUGUAGGCUGCAACCCGCCUACAUGAAGUCGGAAUUGCUAGUAAUCGCGGAUCAGCAUGCCGCGGUGAAUACGUUCCCGGGCCUUGUACACACCGCCCGUCACACCAUGGGAGUUGGAAAUACCCGAAGCCUGUGAGCUAACAGUAAUGAGGCAGCAGUCGAAGGUAGAGCCAAUGAUUGGGGUGAAGUCGUAACAAGGUACC
rnacentral:rRNA from 1 species